CCUACGGGCGGCUGCAGUAAGGAAUGUUGGUCAAUGGACGAAAGUCUGAACCAGCCAUGCCGCGUGGAGGAUGAAGGUCCUCUGGAUUGUAAACUUCUUUUAUAUGGGACGAAAAAAGGCCUUUCCAGGUCGUCUGACGGUACCAUAUGAAUAAGCACCGGCUAACUCCGUGCCAGCAGCCGCGGUAAUACGGAGGGUGCAAGCGUUACUGGGAUUCACUGGGUUUAAAGGGUGCGGGGGUGGGAGGGUAGAAAUCCCCGAGCUUAACUUGGGAACUGCCAUUGAUACUAUCAGUCUUGAAUACCGUGGAGGUCAGCGGAAUAUGUCAUGUAGCGGUGAAAUGCUUAGAUAUGACAUAGAACACCAAUUGCGAAGGCAGCUGGCUACACGAGUAUUGACACUGAGGCACGAAAGCGUGGGGAUCAAACAGGAUUAGAUACCCCGGUAGUC
rnacentral:rRNA from 1 species